CAUUGCGAAAAGUCAUGCGACCUGCACUUUUUGAGAAGCAUUACUCUUUGAACGCACCUUGCGCGUGGAAGACGACUUUCACGAGGUCCUGUUUGAGCAAGAUUACCAGUUGUACAUGACUGUUAGGAUAUCAUCUUGACAGUUGAAAAAUAUGCAGAUGGCCCGAACGACUCUAGGGCAUGAUGGAAGCAAGUGGGAUUGAUAUUGCGUUCAAGCAUCACAAUUUCAUCCAUACAAGAGUCCAUCUACUGCAAGAUUGAAAUUGAAUCAUCAUAGAUGCAAUUUUACCACAUUCACUCACUUCUCAAAUCAGGAUAGAGGACCCGCUGAACUUAA
rnacentral:misc_RNA from 1 species